rnacentral:misc_RNA from 1 species
AGAGACUAUAAAUGGGGUUUUAAUGAAAAUAUUGAAUCUUUUGCGCUGCCAAAAGGGCUUUCGGAGGAUACUAUUAGGUUAAUUUCAUCAAGAAAGAAUGAGCCUGAAUGGAUGCUUGAGUAUAGAUUGAAAUCGUAUGAGAAAUUUGUUAAAAUGAAAGAGCCGAAAUGGUCUGAUAAUCAGUACCCAGAAAUUGAUUUUCAGAAUAUUUGUUAUUAUUCAGAACCUAAAAAGAAACCAACUUUAGAUAGUCUUGAUGAGGCUGACCCUGAGCUUGUUAGGUAUUUUGAUAAAUUGGGUAUUCCUUUGAAUGAAAGAAAUCGUUUAGCAAAUGUUGCAGUUGAUGCUGUUCUUGAUAGUGUUUCUAUUGCUACAACUCAUAGGAAGACCUUAGAGAAGUCUGGUGUGAUUUUUUGUUCGAUUUCUGAGGCUAUUAGGGAAUAUCCAGAUUUAGUCAGGAAGUAUUUGUUUAGAGUUGUGCCCCCAGAAGACAAUUUUUACGCGGCUCUUAAUUCAGCUGUGUUUAGUGAUGGAUCAUUUGUGUAUAUACCCAAGAACACCAAGUGUCCUAUGCAAAUAUCUACUUAUUUUAGAAUAAAUGCAAUGGAAACUGGGCAAUUCGAGAGGACUUUGAUUGUUGCGGAUGAAGGGAGUUUCGUUGAGUAUUUAGAAGGGUGUACAGCACCUUCAUAUGAUACAAAUCAGUUACAUGCUGCUGUGGUGGAAUUGUAUUGCCAUGAAGGUGCAGAGAUUAAGUACUCAACCGUGCAGAAUUGGUACGCUGGAGAUGAG